GAUGAACGCUGGCGGCGUGCCUAAUACAUGCAAGUCGAGCGAACAGACGAGGAGCUUGCUCCUCUGACGUUAGCGGCGGACGGGUGAGUAACACGUGGAUAACCUACCUAUAAGACUGGGAUAACUUCGGGAAACCGGAGCUAAUACCGGAUAAUAUAUUGAACCGCAUGGUUCAAUAGUGAAAGACGGUUUUGCUGUCACUUAUAGAUGGAUCCGCGCCGCAUUAGCUAGUUGGUAAGGUAACGGCUUACCAAGGCAACGAUGCGUAGCCGACUUGAGAGGGUGAUCGGCCACACUGGAAGUGAGACACGGUCCAGACUCCUACGGGAGGCAGCAGUAGGGAAUCUUCCGCAAUGGGCGAAAGCCUGACGGAGCAACGCCGCGUGAGUGAUGAAGGUCUUCGGAUCGUAAAACUCUGUUAUUAGGGAAGAACAAAUGUGUAAGUAACUAUGCACGUCUUGACGGUACCUAAUCAGAAAGCCACGGCUAACUACGUG
rnacentral:rRNA from 1 species